UACGGAGGGGGCGAGCGUUAUUCGGAAUUAUUGGGCGUAAAGGGCGCGUAGGCGGCUGUACAAGUCAAAGGUGAAAUCCCUCGGCUCAACUGAGGAACUGCCUUUGAAACUGUACGGCUUGAGGCCGGGAGGGGGGUAGCGGAAUUCCCAGUGUAGCGGUGAAAAUGCGUAGAUAUUGGGAGGAACACCAGUGGCGAAGGCGGCUCACUGGACUGGUACUGACGCUGAGGGCGCGAAAAGCGUGGGGGAGCAAAACAGGG
rnacentral:rRNA from 1 species